CAGUCGCCGCGGUAAAACGGAGGAUCCGAGCGUUAUCCGGAUUUAUUGGGUUUAAAGGGUGCGUAGGCGGCUUUUUAAGUCAGGGGUGAAAGACGGUAGCUUAACUAUCGCAGUGCCUUUGAUACAGAAGAGCUUGAAUGUACUUGAGGUAGGCGGAAUGUGACAAGUAGCGGUGAAAUGCGUAGAUAUCAAGAGGAACACCGGUGGCGAAGGCGGCUUCCUGGAAGAUACCUGACUCUGAAACACGAAAGCCAGGGGAGCGAAUGGGAUUAGAGACCCCCGUAGUCCCUGUCUCUUAUAC
rnacentral:rRNA from 1 species